UACGGAGGGUGCAAGCGUUGUCCGGAUUUAUUGGGUUUAAAGGGUGCGUAGGCGGUCUUUUAAGUCAGUGGUGAAAUCCUCCAGCUCAACUGGAGAACUGCCAUUGAUACUGGAAGACUUGAGUAUAGUUGAGGUAGGCGGAAUUGACAGUGUAGCGGUGAAAUGCAUAGAUAUUGUCAAGAACACCGAUUGCGAGGGCAGCUUACUAAACUAUAACUGACGCUGAGGCACGAAAGUGCGGGGAUCAAACAGG
rnacentral:rRNA from 1 species